GAUGAAGAACGUAGUGAAAUGCGACAAGUAAUGUGAAUUGCAGAAUUCCGUGAAUCAUCGAAUCUUUGAACGCACAUUGCGCCCCCUGGUAUUCCGGGGGGCAUGCCUGUCCGAGCGUCAUUGCUGCCCUCAAGCACGGCUUGUGUGUUGGGCCUCCGUCCUCCUCCCGGGGGACGGGCCCGAAAGGCAGCGGCGGCACCGCGUCCGGUCCUCGAGCGUAUGGGGCUUCGUCACCCGCUCUUGUAGGCCCGGCCGGCGCUUGCCGACACAUCAAUCUUUUUUCCAGGUUGACCUCGGAUCAGGUAGGGAUACCCGCUGAACUUAAGCAUAUCAAUAAGCGGAGGA
rnacentral:misc_RNA from 1 species